GAUGAACGCUGGCGGCGUGCUUAACACAUGCAAGUCGAACGAAGCACUUUAUUUGAUUUCCUUCGGGACUGAUUAUUUUGUGACUGAGUGGCGGACGGGUGAGUAACGCGUGGGUAACCUGCCUUGUACAGGGGGAUAACAGUUGGAAACGGCUGCUAAUACCGCAUAAGCGCACAGCAUCGCAUGAUGCAGUGUGAAAAACUCCGGUGGUAUAAGAUGGACCCGCGUUGGAUUAGCGAGUUGGUGAGGUAACGGCCCACCAAGGCGACGAUCCAUAGCCGACCUGAGAGGGUGACCGGCCACAUUGGGACUGAGACACGGCCCAAACUCCUACGGGAGGCAGCAGUGGGGAAUAUUGCACAAUGGGCGAAAGCCUGAUGCAGCGACGCCGCGUGAGCGAAGAAGUAUUUCGGUAUGUAAAGCUCUAUCAGCAGGGAAGAUAAUGACGGUACCUGACGAAGAAGCACCGGCUAAAUACGUG
rnacentral:rRNA from 1 species